CUGAACUGAAAGCUUCUUCCAGGAGGACUAGUGUUCAUGGGACCAGUAGACAUGGAAUUUACAAAGCAGGGAAUCAAUCAACUGUCUUGCCCAGGUAGAUUUUCAGACCCUUCCAAGAUUUCUGCGAGUGCUUAUAAUUCUCAACAUUCUGGGUUGCUAUUAUCUAAGAAUGGCUGGUUUGUCUAUAGCCUUGAUUAAACACUUCAGAGACAUCCUUCAAUUCCAUCUUAACCACACCAUCAGCAUUUACGUAGCUCAGCUAAAGAAAUAUUGAAAGCUAUUUAAAAACUUCUUCCUUCGUCUGUUUCCAAAUACUUUUUAUUAUAUACUGAUUCCUAAACUCUUCUUCUGUAAAACACUGAUUUUGCCACAGAAUAAACAAAAUGAUUGCUUGUGAGCUCA